rnacentral:rRNA from 1 species
UGGGGAAUAUUGGACAAUGGGGGCAACCCUGAUCCAGCAAUGCCGCGUGUGUGAAGAAGGCCUGCGGGUUGUAAAGCACUUUAGGUAACGAGGAAGGCCUGGUAGUGAAUAGCUAUUGGGAUUGACGUUAGUUACAGAAUAAGCACCGGCUAACUCUGUGCCAGCAGCCGCGGUAAUACAGAGGGUGCAAGCGUUAAUCGGAAUGACUGGGCGUAAAGGGUGCGUAGGUGGCUAUUUAAGUUAGAUGUGAAAUCCCCGGGCUUAACCUGGGAACUGCAUUUAAUACUGGAUGGCUAGAGUGUGGGAGAGGUAAGUGGAAUUUCCGGUGUAGCGGUGAAAUGCGUAGAUAUCGGAAGGAACACCAGUGGCGAAGGCGGCUUACUGGCCUAACACUGACACU